ensembl:lncRNA
UGCCUCAUCCAUCGUGAGGCCCCUGGGAGAGCCUUGCUGUAGCUCCUCAGAUGGUUCUGAUUGGCAACCACCUGUGGGUGAGCCGGGCCCAGCCCCACACACCACACCUUGCUGUGACACCUGGAGACCAUUGAGGUGUAGAACAGCCUGGAAGGAGGAGGUUCCAGCUUCACAGUGUGGAUGCCGACCGCAAUUUAGGGAACACAGGCCCUUCUCUCUCCUGGAAAGACCAGGGUCAUCUGGCCAGAACUCCACCAGUGAACUCCAGUCUCCAAAGCAAGGCUCUUGGGGUCUUAUUCACUUCAUUAAUAUUUAAUCGAAGAAUCAUACUGAGCUAUUUCCAGACUCUGAGUGGAGGGAACAUGGUACUGCCUUCCCAGUGGAAUUCUGAUUAAUGCACCAUCUCUGUGGUCCCUGAGGAUCACCAACUUCCUCAUCCCCCAACUAUACAUAUUUAUUCUGUGGAGAGGGAGGCAGAAAGUUGGAGAAAGCCCUUUUUAGCCCAACACAUGAUCUUCAGAAAAGUCAACAGACCUUUCCUGAUGGUCACCUAGUGGCCUUGCUGUUUCUCCACGUGAAUGUGAUAUUGAAUAUUGUACAAAGCCACUUGAAAAAGAUAUAAAAGAAGCCUGACAUUGGCCUUUCAGAGACGGACUCAGUGAGCAUGACCCAAUUAAUAACAGUAAGACAGAGGCAGCUGGGAAGGUGCAUGGUGUAGGCUCUUCCUGCACCCGGGCACUGGACAGACACUGGAGGACAGAUAUGUGCCGGCUGAGAUCUCAUCCAGGAUGAAGAAACUGAAGCAUGCAGAGGUUAGUGACUUGCCCAAGGUCACAUGGUUGGAGAAUUCAUGGUUCAAAUCCAGGAACUGAAGAUGAUCAUGUCCUCUCUAGUUUUCUGGAGUGUAAAAAUCAGACACUGUGUGAUUCUUCAGAUGAAAAAGAAAACUGCUCUUACGCUAACAAGGAGGUUGGAAUAUGUGUCUUGCGCCUUAGAAAGCAUGGAAAGCAAAUAGUCAUGAAGAAAUAGAAAAUUAGGAAGACAAAUCAAUCAACUCCCUUGUCUCAUUAAAAAAUAAAGUCAGUCUUCCUUUCUCUUUUUGUGACACAUUUACUGAAAGUUUAGACAAAAGUUUAUCAAGGAAUAAUGAGAGGACAUUUUCUCUUUAGUUCCAACAGAUCAAAGAAUAUACAUUAUGAAAACAAAAGAAGUCUGGUUCUGUCUGAGUUGGGGUGAAAAGCUUAAAGGACCUGAAGAGGCAUUUAUACUGUGUGUAUGAGAUACAGAAAGGGUACGUGGGGACAGGUCAUUAAAUUUUACUGUAGAUUGUGAAGUCUUCCCUACCUGCUUUGCAGAUUUCGGUGAAGUCUUAAGU